CGGCUCCCAGAACCCCUUCUCCUCCCUCCCCCUCUCCCCGUCCUUUCCCUCCCUGCCUUCCCCGACACCCUGGGUUAGACAUCAAAGCUCAAGGCUGCCAGACUGGGGUUCUCUGACUCCACCCAUUGGGAAGGAGUUGGGUGGGUGAGGUCCCCUCCCAGCUGCUUCUGAAAACCCCCAAACAGAUGGGCUUGUAUUAGAGCUGGGCAGCUUGAGGCUCGGGCUGCCGAGAGGAGGCCGGACAAGGGGCUUCCUGGGUAGCCUGCACCUGCCAGGAGGGAGGGUCCAAAAGGAUUCCUUCCGCAAAGAUCCAGGCCUUGUACCCGCCGCACUCUGUAUCCGUGUCUCUCUGAGGCCUCCUGGUUUUCAGCUGCUGCUUCCCAGAAAAUUUGGAAAAUACAGGAAAGCAUAGAAAAGCAGAUAAAGUGCAUAUAAUAAUAAUACCACCACUCGGAGGCAACCAUGGUCAUUCCGGACUCCUAAAGCCGCCAGUCCCUCAGUGAGACAUGAGCGCCACUGGCGUCCGUGGCCUCUGUUUCCGUGGCAACCCAGUAACCAUUAAUUUUCAAUUAAAGGAGACAAAAAGCUGGAUGACAGCGCUAGGUCUGCUGAAGAUGUCAAGAAUCUGUAUUAAUAUACAGCAAGAGAGCAUAAUUGUGUGUCCAUCUUCCCGAGCAGCGAAAAAUGGAGGGAUAAUUACCAGCUCGAAAGCCACUCUGUAAUUUAGUUCUUACUGUCACCACAGCCCUACACAUUAGCAUAAAUUAAAAGCAGAGUUUAUUGUUAUCA